rnacentral:rRNA from 1 species
AAAUUGAAGAGUUUGAUCAUGGCUCAGAUUGAACGCUGGCGGCAGGCCUAACACAUGCAAGUCGAACGGUAACAGGAAGAAGCUUGCUUCUUUGCUGACGAGUGGCGGACGGGUGAGUAAUGUCUGGGAAACUGCCUGAUGGAGGGGGAUAACUACUGGAAACGGUAGCUAAUACCGCAUAACGUCGCAAGACCAAAGAGGGGGACCUUCGGGCCUCUUGCCAUCGGAUGUGCCCAGAUGGGAUUAGCUUGUUGGUGGGGUAACGGCUCACCAAGGCGACGAUCCCUAGCUGGUCUGAGAGGAUGACCAGCCACACUGGAACUGAGACACGGUCCAGACUCCUACGGGAGGCAGCAGUGGGGAAUAUUGCACAAUGGGCGCAAGCCUGAUGC